AGCACCGCGCAAGUGGGCCGAAGGUCGACUCCUGCGGCGCAGGGGUUGUACCCCGGCCCCGGAAAGCUGUGA
rfam:Mycobacterium chubuense NBB4, complete genome.